CUCACCUUUGAACAGACAGGAACACGUGUUUGUGUGUAUAUGUGCGGCAUGAGUUCUGCCCCCUUCAUCGUAGAAAACCUGAAGGCUGCUGUGUGACUCUUCUGCAGUGAAGAUCUGGUCAGUGUAGAGUGGUUUGGUGGUGAGUUACACUCACAUGGGCGACGACACUGUAAGACAAAGAGAGAUGAUUAUUAGUAGUACUUUAGAAACAGGCAAGUACGAUGAAUGAUUUCUAAUCUACAUUAAGAGGCAAAAAGAAGGCAAAUACGGUUCUGGACAGGCGUAAACAAAUAAUUUUUCAUAUUAAAAAGACUGGAUACCAAAAAAAAAAAACCACAAAAAAAAAAAAACAGAAAGAAAGAAAAUUCUGUCAUCAUUUACUUAUGUCGACCAUUAAAAUAGAGGCAGAAUGUUUGAGCUGUUACCUUCAACACUGUGAAAGUGAAUGGGAAUCAGGGGCUGUGAAGCUCUAAAGCAUUUCAAGUCUGAUGAAGCUGAAGAAGUUAUUAAUUUUUAUAUUUUAUUUUUUAAAAAGUCAGAAUCUUGCUUUGAAAAUCUUGCUUGACAGUUGUGGUCACCAUUCACUUUCAUUGUACAAAAAAAAGAAGCUUGGACUUUCUGCUAUAAAUAACUCCUUUUGUGUUUCAAAAGAGCCACAUGGUUUCCAAAGACAUGAUGGUAGAAUAUUCAUUUUGGGUGAACUGGUCUCUAAAUAAACAAGUUGAAUAUUAAUAUUAACAAUUAAUAUUAUUUACAUUUUUUUAAUAUGCAAUUAUUUUUUCUUUAUCCCUUUGUUUUACUUUUAUCUCACCACUAAGCACAUUGGUCUAGUGAUUAAAAAUCUUUUAAAAAUCAGAUUUAAACACACCUUUUUUUUUUUUUUUUAAGAAAUGUAAUUUGUGUUGACUCCAUAGAAUAAUCUUUUGUUCCAAAAAAGUAAUAAUUCUGAAAAUGUAGUACAAUAAUUAAGUACUAAAGAACUACAACACGGUCCUUGCAUCACAAAUACAUAGAAGUGUCUUUUUUUUUUCUUUUUUUUUUUUUUUACAAAUGAAUGUUUGAUAAUCACAGUGAUGAGGGUCUAUAUGUGUUCUCCCUGCUUUAUAUCUUUCUUGUCACAUUACAAUAAAAUAGCAUGUUUGGUGAUGCCACACCAACUUUUCACACAAGUUUUCCAAAUUUUUCAGCCUUUAAAUGAAACAACAAAGUGGUAAAACAUGUCAAAUCAUGGUGGUGUAAUGCUGUAAUGUUUUGCAUGAAUUGCAAUUGAAUAACUUUUUUAGAUUGAGACAAAAAUGAGAGUCACAUCACUGACCCUUGUAACACAUGAGUGGGAGACAGAAAUGGAGGGGGGUGAUAAUUGGAAACCCAAGGGGGCAGAAACGAGCCCCCGAUAAAAGGAGGAAAAGAAACUCUGGGGAAGAAACGGCCGUUACUAAGGGUGAGUCCUGCACCUGUGUCAAACUCAUUCUGACAAAAAGGCAUGAAUGAGCAUCAGAGAACUUUCCUUUAUACACACACACACACACACACACACACACACACACACACACACACACACACACACACACA